GAUGAACGCUGACAGAAUGCUUAACACAUGCAAGUCAACUUGAAUUUGGGUUUUUAACUUAGGUUUGGGUGGCGGACGGGUGAGUAACGCGUAAAGAACUUGCCUCACAGCUAGGGACAACAUUUGGAAACGAAUGCUAAUACCUAAUAUUAUGAUAAUAGGGCAUCCUAUAAUUAUGAAAGCUAUAAGCGCUGUGAGAGAGCUUUGCGUCCCAUUAGCUAGUUGGAGAGGUAACGGCUCACCAAGGCGAUGAUGGGUAGCCGGCCUGAGAGGGUGAUCGGCCACAAGGGGACUGAGACACGGCCCUUACUCCUACGGGAGGCAGCAGUGGGGAAUAUUGGACAAUGGACCGAGAGUCUGAUCCAGCAAUUCUGUGUGCACGAUGAAGUUUUUCGGAAUGUAAAGUGCUUUCAGUUGGGAAGAAACAAAUGACGGUACCAACAGAAGAAGUGACGGCUCAAUACGUG
rnacentral:rRNA from 1 species